CACCAGGAAUGUUUUCUCACAAGUAACACGUGGUUCUGUGAAACGCAUAUUUAUCUUUGUUCGUGCUGCAGGCUCUCUAAUCCACGAUAUCGCCUUGAAGGCCAGCAGCUCACAACCAGGUAACGGCUGUAUGUGUGUCAACAGAAAGUCCGCAUCGAAUUGGGUAAGCCGGAGACAAGCUAUUAAAUGUGGCAGUGGCUCUUGACGUGCAGGGACAUCGUAAUUGAACCAGCGUUUUAUGGCAUCGUAGGCAUCUUCCUCACGAGUUAUAUUCAAAUUGUCAGAUUCCAGAAUACGUUGAAAUUUUUCUACAUCAAAACUCAGAAACUCAACGCCUCGACUGAUCUAGUAUUAUUAGAAACAAAAUGACGAUUACAAAAGUACCG